rnacentral:rRNA from 1 species
UAGGGAAUCUUCCGCAAUGGACGAAAGUCUGACGGAGCAAUGCCGCGUGAGUGAAGAAGGAUUUCGGUUCGUAAAACUCUGUUGUUAGGGAAGAAAAAAUGUAUAGUAACUAUAUACAAAAGAGACGGUACCUAACCAGAAAGCCACGGCUAACUACGUGCCAGCAGCCGCGGUAAUACGUAUGUGGCAAGCGUUGUCCGGAAUUAUUGGGCGUAAAGCGCGCGCAGGUGGUUUAGAAAGUCUGAUGUGAAAGCCCACGGCUCAACCAUGGAGGGUCAUUGGAAACUAAUAAACUUGAGUGCAGAAGAGAAAAGUGGAAUUCCUAGUGUAGCGGUGAAAUGCGUAGAGAUUAGGAGGAACACCGGUGGCGAAAGCAGCUUUUUGGCCUGAAACUGACGCUGAGGCGCGAAAGCGAGGGGAGCAAACAGG